GAUGAACGCUGGCGGCGUGCUUAACACAUGCAAGUCGAACGAAGCACUUUAUUUGAUUUCCUUCGGGACUGAUUAUUUUGUGACUGAGUGGCGGACGGGUGAGUAACGCGUGGGUAACCUGCCUUGUACAAGGGGAUAACAGUUGGAAACGGCUGCUAAUACCGCAUAAGCGCACGGCAUCGCAUGAUGCAGUGUGAAAAACUCCGGUGGUAUAAGAUGGACCCGCGUUGGAUUAGCUAGUUGGUGAGGUAACGGCCCACCAAGGCGACGAUCCAUAGCCGACCUGAGAGGGUGACCGGCCACAUUGGGACUGAGACACGGCCCAAACUCCUACGGGAGGCAGCAGUGGGGAAUAUUGCACAAUGGGCGAAAGCAUGAUGCAGCGACGCCGCGUGAGCGAAGAAGUAUUUCGGUAUGUAAAGCUCUAUCAGCAGGGAAGAUAAUGACGGUACCUGACUAAGAAGCACCGGCUAAAUACGUG
rnacentral:rRNA from 1 species